rnacentral:rRNA from 1 species
UACAGAGGGUGCAAGCGUUAAUCGGAAUUACUGGGCGUAAAGCGUGCGCAGGCGGUUUGCUAAGUCAGGUGUGAAGUCCCUCGGCUCAACCGAGGAAUAGCGCUUGAUACUGCAAGGCUUGAGGGAGACAGGGGUAAGCGGAACUGAUGGUGGAGCGGUGAAAUGCGUUGAUAUCAUCAGGAACACCGGUGGCGAAAGCGGCUACUGGGUCUCUUCUGACGCUGAGGAACGAAAGCUAGGGGAGCGAACGGG